AACUUUCAGCAACGGAUCUCUUGGCUCUCCCAUCGAUGAAGAACGCAGCGAAAUGCGAUAAGUAAUGUGAAUUGCAGAAUUCAGUGAAUCAUCGAAUCUUUGAACGCACCUUGCGCCCCUUGGUAUUCCGAAGGGCAUGCCUGUUUGAGUGUCA
rnacentral:rRNA from 1 species